AGAGUUUGAUCCUGGCUCAGGAUGAACGCUGGCGGCGUGCUUAACACAUGCAAGUCGAACGAAGUUUAUAAGCGGAAGUCUUCGGAUGGAAGCUUAUGAACUUAGUGGCGGACGGGUGAGUAACGCGUGGGUAACCUGCCUUGUACAGGGGGAUAACAGCCGGAAACGGCUGCUAAUACCGCAUAAGCGCACAGCUUCGC
rnacentral:rRNA from 1 species